UCAGUUCACUGCAACCUCUGCUUCCAGAGUUCAAGCAAUUCUCCUGCCUCAGCCUCCUGAGUAGCUGGGACUACAGGUGUGUGCCACCAUGCCCGGAUACUUUGUGUAUUUUUGUGGAUAUGAGGUUUUGCCCUGUUGGCCAGGCUGAAAUCCCACUUUAUAAGUUUGAAGAGAUAGAUAAAAAUAUAAGUGGAGUCACACUCUAUGCAAACUAGGUUUCCUGGCGAGCAUCUCAAAAAAUAUUGAGUGAAUAGAUAAGGAAGUCAGGUGUUAAAUCUGGGGACAUACAGCUCAUAGGUUUGGACUCUUAUUUAACUAAAAUUAAGUACUGGCCAGCAAUGUUUUGCCCCCCAUCCACUACUGUGUGCAAACAGUGAAUUUUAACUUUUUUUUUUUUUUUUUUAAACAAAGGGAAGAAGAGUUCCUCUGCAUGGAAAAUGGCACUUUUAAAUAUCAAACCCAUUGCUUGGGCAUACUCUUUGAUGACAUUAGGGACUGAAAUGCUGAAUUCUGUCUUUGGUUUCUACUAUGUGAAACUUUUUCUACAUCUGUACACGAUUCCAGAAGUGGCCUUUUAUCAAACCCAGUCUUUAACCUUCUUCAGCAACUUCAUGAUGAUCUUCGCAGAUAUUCUCAUUCUCAGAGAUGUACUAUCUUCUUCCAUAAGGAGCAUUAUGUAGGGGACAGGCUUUAUUUGCCCACAGAACUCUAAGAAAUGCCUUGGACCACAUCAGUCACUGAUCCAUUGUUUUUUAGUAUCCAGAAAAUGAACUCUUGUUCUUUACAAGUAGAAAAGUAAGUCAAAAAAUCAGUCAGGGGAAAAAAACCCUUAUGUUUACUAAAGAACAUCUGUAUUCUACUUACAUCAUUCAACAUUCUCUUCUAAUUAUAAUGCACAUACAUUUGGUUAGUGAAAACUUUUCAGGGAUAAACAAUGUGUGCUUUUUUAUUGAAAACAAAGAGUAUCUUCUGAUCUUUGUUAAUAUACAUACGUGUAUUUAGCAUAAACUUUUCAGUCUAGAACAAUGAACUUUUUCAUUAAUAGCAAGAAAUGCAAAAAAUCUAAGUCUGAGCUCUUAAAAUGAAUCUGUUGUAAUGAUAAAAAUAUAUAAAGUUAGGCAGGACACAGUAACCUGGAAUGCUAACUCUUGUUUUCUUCUGAUGCUUGAUUUUGGGGUAAAAAGUACAUUUCAGGCAAGAUGUGGUGGCUCACACCUGUAAUCCUAACAUUUUGGGAGGUCCAGGCAGGCAGAUCACUUGCACCUAGGAGUUUGAGACCAGCCUGGCCAACAUGGUGAAACGCUAAAAAUACAGAAGUUAGCCAGGCACAGUGGUGCUUGCCUGUAAUCCCAGCUAUUCAGGAUGCUGAGGCAUGAGAAUUGCUUGAACCUGGGAGGCAAAGAUUGCACUAAGCCAAGAUCAUGCCACUGCACUUCAGCCUGGAUGACAGAUUUGAGACUCUGUCUCAAAAAAAAAAAGUUAUUAUUCAUAAUCAAUUUUUGAUAUAUAUUGAUAAUAAUGGCAUUUCUAAGCAAGAUAGUUUUAGUUGUGUGUUUCAAUUGAUACUAUAGUUCAGAAGCAAAUUUAUUUAUUAAGUAUUUUUUGAGACAGGGUCUUGCUCUUGUCACUCAGGUUGGGGUGCAGUGGGUAUGAUCAUAGCGCAUUAUAGCCUCAACCUCCUGGACUGAAGCAAUCCUCCCACCUCAGCCUCCCUAGUAGCUGGGACUACAGCUGUACAUCACCACACUCAGCUAAUUUUUGUAUUAUUUGUAGAAAUAGAGUUUCACCAUGUUGCCCAGGCUGGUCAUGAACUGCUGGGCUAAAGCAAUCCUCCUACCUUGGCCUCCCAAACUACUGGGAUUAUAGGCAUGAGUCACUGCACCUAGCCAGCAAUUUAUUUUGCAAUAAGAACGUUU
rnacentral:lncRNA from 1 species